rnacentral:hammerhead_ribozyme from 1 species
GAACUGUUGAAGAGUGCCAUAAUAGGAUGAAACAGCUGUCCAGUGC